GAAAGAAAGAAAGAAAGAGAGAGGGGGGAGAGGGAGAGGGAAAAAAGAGUAAGAGAGAGAGAGAGAGGAGGCUGAGUAGCGGGGCUAGUUUUUCUCUCUAUCGAGUGGAGGAUGAAUGAACCCUGCAAUUUGUUGGGAGCGAGGACCGAGCAACUCCUGCUAUCCAGGGCCCCCAUUAUCUCUAUAAUCUCUCGCGAGACCAGAAGCUACGCUCGAAUAGGAGCCUGUCCACCGGCAACAACUUAACCAUAAUAUACCAGGAUAGCGUGGAGAAGGCAUGAGCCCAGGUAUACACGGCUUAUAAAGCGGCUUCACCGACUUUGCCGUUCGGAAGAGGAGAAAACAUUGUACCUGGAUAUGAUGAUGGAAAAUAAGAGGAGGGAUGCAGAGGAUGGAUUUAAGAGUCCGCCGUUGCACAGACUUGUAACGUAUAAAAGGCGCAAGAUAAUCAAUUACCCCGGCUACCGACUUCCCGAGAGCAAUAACAUCCGCUGGGUUCGCAUCGGCCCCCUCCCGUCUACCUGUUGCAACAACGACGUAUAUUUAAUGGCUGCCCUAAUCGAGCGGCCAUGGGUGCGAGAGUCCUGCCGAUACCAUGAAAUAUAAUAAAUAUAUACAUAUAUAUAUAUAAGUAUGGAACGGUCGAUCGUAUACCAAGAAAGGGCCACGAAUGGCGAAGAGAGAUCAUAAAGGUACGUUCUCGUGAAACGUGUUGCAAAGCCGUAUCUUGAGAGGAGUAAUAGUGCGUGUGAUACGCACCGAACAGGUAGUUCUCUUUGCUUUCUUUCCUUUUUCUUUUCAUUCCACAGACGCAAAGAAGAGGCGCGGUUUUCUCUCUUCUCUCUCUCUCUCUCUCUCUCUCUCUCUCUCU